UCUCCAGCUUCCCACCUCGGGUCUGGGGGAGGAGGGCGGGGGACGCGUGCGCCCAGGUCCUAGGGGCGAGCAGGUGCUCGGGAGGGGGCGCUCUGGGGGCAAGUCCGCACCGUGGGGGCGGGGGUCGCCUGCUUGUCACCCCUCCGGCGCCCCAAUCUCACCUCCGCCCCGGGCCUGUGCUCAGCCGGUGGGCAGAGCGCCCGGGCUCGCUUUCGGCGUGUGCGCCCACAUCGCCGGGGUGUGAGUCACUCCAGGCGGCCGGCACACCCACUUCCCCGGAGUUGGAGGCAGGAGCGAGGAUCCAGGCCUCGGUCUGGUGUGUGCUGUCACUCCUGGCAGAGGACAGAAGCAGGAGAGAACAACCAGCGAGACACGUGUGAGAAGCACUCAGCCUAACACUGUUGACUUUGAACACUGAGGAAAGGGCUGCAUGUAGAGGAAGCAGACGGCCCCUCGGAGCUGGAAAAGGAAGGCAAUGGACUCCAGGAGGCCUCCAGUCCUGCUGAUGGCUUGAUUUUCUCCCAGUAGGACCCACUUUCGACUUCUGAACUGCAGGACUGUGAGGUGUCCGCGCCUCCACCUUAUCUGCUUUCCUAUUCUUGCUCUCCCUCUGCUUGUCCUCAUCCCAUUUCCUGGACAGAAUCAAGCUCAGUCAGUGCGGUGGACGGAGUGUAGAAGCCAGAAACGGAAAGCUUUCCCACAGCCCUGUGGUCCACAGUUUCCCAGCGGACAGAUAUUUAUGAAGCCUCGGCAAUGUUUCAGAGACUGUGUUGGGAGCUGGGGCCUCAGAGAGGAUGAGGCAGACAAGAAUGUGCCCUCAUAGGGAUUCCAUUCUGAUGGGGAAGACAGGUCGAUAAAAAUGGGAAAUGCCUGACAGGAAGCUGGGAAGGAAGGGAGGGAGUAGUGUGUAGGUGGGUCUGGGUUACAGUUUCAGCGGGUGGUAUUUGAGCAAGGAUUUGAGGAAGGUGAAGGGAUUGGCCAGGCACUAGGAGAAAAGUGGUGCUGAUUGAAGGAGAGGUGGGGCAAAGGGCCUGAGGCAACUCUGUCGUGGGUGGGAUGUAGCCUGAAGGCCUGGUGGCUGGAGCUGGA